GCGAACGCUGGCGGCAGGCUUAACACAUGCAAGUCGAGCGGGCGUAGCAAUACGUCAGCGGCAGACGGGUGAGUAACGCGUGGGAACAUACCUUUUGGUUCGGAACAACACAGGGAAACUUGUGCUAAUACCGGAUAAGCCCUUACGGGGAAAGAUUUAUCGCCGAAAGAUUGGCCCGCGUCUGAUUAGCUAGUUGGUGAGGUAACGGCUCACCAAGGCGACGAUCAGUAGCUG
rnacentral:rRNA from 1 species